CACGUAGGGUGCGAGCGUUGUCCGGAAUUAUUGGGCGUAAAGAGCUCGUAGGCGGUUCGGUAAGUCGGGUGUGAAACCUCCAGGCUCAACCUGGAGAUGCCACCUGAUACUGCUGUGACUCGAGUCCGGUAGGGGAGCGUGGAAUUCCUGGUGUAGCGGUGAAAUGCGCAGAUAUCAGGAGGAACACCAGCGGCGAAGGCGGCGCUCUGGGCCGGAACUGACGCUGAGGAGCGAAAGCGUGGGUAGCAAACAGG
rnacentral:rRNA from 1 species